rnacentral:lncRNA from 1 species
AAGAGAUCUUCAAUCAACGAUCAUCCUCUUCUCAAGUGUUCAUUCAAGCAUUCAUCCACCUUGAGAAAAUCCAAAAAGGGUUUCUUCAUUUGAGUAAAGUUUUUAUUGUUAUAUUCGCUCAUUUAAGGAGCUGUUAUUGUAUUAAUCUGUGCUCUAAAUUAUCUUACUCUUGUAAGUAAUUAUUCUUGUUUUUGGAGGAUUUCCAAAACAAGGAAAGGUUGAUC